UACGGAGGGUGCGAGCGUUGUCCGGAAUCAUUGGGCGUAAAGGGCGCGUAGGUGGCCCGGUCAGUUCGUGGUGAAAGCGCGGGGCUCAACCCUGCGUCGGCCAUGAAUACUGCCGCGGCUGGAGCACUGUAGAGGCAGGCGGAAUUCCGGGUGUAGCGGUGGAAUGCGUAGAGAUCCGGAAGAACACCGGUGGCGAAGGCGGCUUUCUGGACGAUAACUGACGCUGAGACGCGAAAGCGUGGGGAGCAAACAGG
rnacentral:rRNA from 1 species